UAUUACCAGAUUCUAAAAUGUGUGUGGCAAUGUAAGAGCUAUGUUGCUGCAGUUGGAUUUAUCUAAAUCGAGGGCUGGUUAUCUAUACUGUCACCGUGAUUUCGUUGGAUGGAUAUGAUAAGGAUAAAUUAAAAGUGAUAAGAGGUAAUAGUGAGCUGAGACUGAAUUAAUAAGGAUAAAGGAUA